rnacentral:rRNA from 1 species
GACGAACGCUGGCGGCGUGCUUAACACAUGCAAGUCGAACGGUGAAGGUGGGAGCUUGCUCCUGCUGGAUCAGUGGCGAACGGGUGAGUAACACGUGAGUAACCUGCCCUUGACUCUGGGAUAAGCGUUGGAAACGACGUCUAAUACCGGAUACGAGCCUCAGCCGCAUGGCUAGGAGUUGGAAAGAUUUUUCGGUCAAGGAUGGACUCGCGGCCUAUCAGCUUGUUGGUGAGGUAAUGGCUCACCAAGGCGACGACGGGUAGCCGGCCUGGGAGGGUGACCGGCCAACCUGGGACUGAGACACGGCCCAGACUCCUACGGGAGGCAGCAGUGGGGAAUAUUGCCCAAUGGGCGCAAGCCUGAUGCAGCGACGCCGCGUGAGGGAUGACGGCCUUCGGGUUGUAAACCUCUUUCAGUACCGACGAAGCGCAAGUGACGGUAGGUACAGAAGAAGGACCGGCCAACUACGUGCCAGCCGCCGCCGUAAUAC